rnacentral:rRNA from 1 species
AUUGAACGCUGGCGGCAUGCCUUACACAUGCAAGUCGAACGGUAACGGGCCUUCGGGUGCCGACGAGUGGCGAACGGGUGGGUAAUACAUCGGAACGUGCCCGAUCGUGGGGGAUAACGAGGCGAAAGCUUUGCUAAUACCGCAUACGAUCUACGGAUGAAAGCCGGGGACCGCAAGACCUUGCGCGGACGGAGCGGCCGAUGGCAGAUUAGGUAGUUGGUGGGAUAAAAGCUUACCAAGCCGACGAUCUGUAGCUGGUCUGAGAGGAUGAUCAGCCACACUGGGACUGAGACACGGCCCAGACUCCUACGGGAGGCAGCAGUGGGGAAUUUUGGACAAUGGGCGCAAGCCUGAUCCAGCCAUGCCGCGUGCAGGAUGAAGGCCUUCGGGUUGUAAACUGCUUUUGUACGGAACGAAAAGCCUUCUUUUAAUACAGGAGGGUCAUGACGGUACCGUAAGAAUAAGCACCGGCUAACUACGUG